AUUGAACGCUGGCGACAUGCCUUACACAUGCAAGUCGAACGGCAGCACGGGUGCUUGCACCUGGUGGCGAGUGGCGAACGGGUGAGUAAUACAUCGGUACAUGUCCUUUAGUGGGGGAUAGCCCGGCGAAAGCCGGAUUAAUACCGCAUACGAUCUACGUAUUACAGCGGGGGCCCUUCGGGCCUCGCGCUAUAGGGUUGGCCGAUGGCUGAUUAGCUCGUUGGUGGGGUAAAGGCCUACCAAGGCGACGAUCAGUAGCUGGUCUGAGAGGACGACCAGUCACACUGGGACUGAGACACGGCCCAGACUCCUAAGGGAGGCAGCAGUGGGGAAUGUUGGACAAUGGGCGAAAGCCUGAUCCAGCAAUGCCGCGUGUGUGAAGAAGGCCUUCGGGUUGUAAAGCACGUUUGUCCGGAAAGAAAUCCUUGGCCCUAAUACGGUCGGGGGAUGACGGUACCGGAAGAAUAAGCACCGGCUAACUACGUG
rnacentral:rRNA from 1 species